GGUCAAGAUGGGUCAGGGGCCGGGGUAAUGCGGCGGGGGCAGGUGUUUUCCGGAAGUAGUGUGCGUACAGAGCUCGUGUGCGGGGUGGCGCGUCUGGUGUGAAAGCCCGGGUCUCAACCUCGGGUCUGCAGUGGGUACGGGCAGACUGGAGUGCGGUAGGGGAGAUUGGAAUUCCUGGUGUAGCGGUGGAAUGCGCAGAUAUCAGGAGGAACACCGAUGGCGAAGGCAGAUCUCUGGGCCGUUACUGACGCUGAGGAGCGAAAGCAUGGGGAGCGAACAGGAUUAGAUACCCGGGUAGUC
rnacentral:rRNA from 1 species